AGGAACAGAGACGGGUCAGAACCAGAACCAGACUUCUGGAGGGUUAGGGUCAGAACCAGACAUGCACGGCUCCUGUAGUGGAAAAACAAACAGCUCCCCCUAGAGGAAGACCUGCAUGUUUAAACAGAAACUCAGACCUCGGCGCCCCCUGCUGCUCAACUUGAGCUCAGCAGGAAAACAUGAUUCAAGAUGAAACAGAAACAAUCAAGACCAGCAGGAGGCGCCACAGAUCCACAUCUGAGCUGACGAGUCCCAGAGAGACUCGGAUCAACCUGAACAGAACCGGCAGGCUGCAGGAGGUCAGAGUGAACCGGACCUGUGAGAACGUCAGCAGCACCAGAUGGACUGGCGUCCGAGUCAGAACCCUGCAGAAUCUACUCUAUCGUUAUGGAGAACGGGAGACAGUCCGGGUCUCUGAUGAACUGGGGGCUUCUGGUCCGGUCUGGGGGGUUCUGGAGAGAUCCAGGUCCUGUUCUGAGUCCUCACAGAGAUAGAAGGAUGUGUGUGUGUGUCUGUCUAGCUCGGGUACCAAGCCACCAGAGGAACCAGAAGAACCGCCCAAGUUCUGCAGAGCGGCACGCAACCCAAUGAUCAGGUCCAGUUGCU